rnacentral:misc_RNA from 1 species
GGUCUAGAAGACUCUCUCCCUGCUCUCUCCAAUGUUCCCCCACCUAAAAAUCUCCUAUUUUUAAUCCUCUAGAAAUAUCCGUAUUAGUCCCACUAAUUUAAAUUUUUUUUUAAACUAGGUUCUAGAGAGUUCCUUAUGAGUCCUCAUUUCUUUUUCUCUUCUCAAUUCUAAAUACACCUAUUUAAUAAAAACCAUUUCAAUUAAAAAAAAUUAUUAUAAUUAUUAGCCUCGUCAUAUUAGAACCAGGAUGUUACAGUUUGUGAUUGAAUUUCAUCUGGAUUGUGUUUCAUUUGGGUUGUAUUGUGAUUGUAUUGCAUCUGGGUUUUAUUGUGAUUGCAUUUCAUCUGUGUUUAAUGUUGAUUUUCAUAUCUUCUGAAAUGGGGUUUGUGUAUUGAUUGAGA